rnacentral:rRNA from 1 species
AGAGUUUGAUCCUGGCUCAGGACGAACGCUGGCGGCGUGCCUAAUACAUGCAAGUCGAGCGGAGCUUAUCCUUCGGGGUAAGCUUAGCGGCGGACGGGUGAGUAACACGUAGGCAACCUGCCCCUUAGCCUGGGAUAACUACCGGAAACGGUAGCUAAUACCGGAUAAUUCUUUUUUCUCAUGAAGGGAGAAUGAAAGGCGGAGCAAUCUGUCAUUAAGGGAUGGGCCUGCGGCGCAUUAGCUAGUUGGUGGGGUAACGGCUCACCAAGGCGACGAUGCGUAGCCGACCUGAGAGGGUGAACGGCCACACUGGGACUGAGACACGGCCCAGACUCCUACGGGAGGCAGCAGUAGGGAAUCUUCCGCAAUGGGCGAAAGCCUGACGGAGCAACGCCGCGUGAGUGAUGAAGGUUUUCGGAUCGUAAAGCUCUGUUGCCAGGGAAGAACGUCCGGUAGAGUAACUGCUACCGGAGUGACGGUACCUGAGAAGAAAGCCCCGGCUAACUACGUG